GAGAACGCAUCCCAUUGAGGGGCCUCUUUCCCUUGAGCGUGGAUCAGAAUUCCUCUCAACUGACAGGAGACACCAGCUCUAAAGCUGAAGCUGAAGCAGGUUUUAGAUGGCAGCAUGGAUGGAGAUGGACCCCAGUGCAGUGACUAAACAAAAGUUUCAGCGUGUCUUCAUCUCUCUUGGGAGCUGGGGAAGUGUAUGUGUGUUUCUCACACUCUAUCUCCCACUCCAAACCCCACCCAAAGGACAAUAGGUGCAAGCUGGAACUGUCGUUGGCAAACCAGAACAUAUGGCCACAGUAGACGUUGGUGACCUUGAUGGGACCAGUUUCAACAGAGUUGUAGCGAUGGCAAUCUGGUUGGUGUGGUCUGAGGAGAGAAUAAAAGGGACAACACAGAACCAGCCAGGCAAAUGAGUAUUUCCAACGAUUUAAAGUCGGAGAUUAACUUGGUUUAGUUGACUCAGCAAAGAAAAUCAGACUUAAAUCUCUCCUUCUCUUCUGAAUUACAACGUCCAUUUCUCUAGUCAGCCAGGUACGGCUCCUUAAAGAGAAUUUCCUCCUCCGGAAAGUGGUGUCUGAGUAGUCAUAUCUGUGUCUAGAAAGUGGCGUCUUCAGACACUGCAGACAUUGGCUCAUUGCAAGAGAAUUAUAUAUAGUGCAGCUCACCUUGGGCACACCCCAGUGUCACAAUCUUACCUGCUAAGGUGCUAGAGGUAGGACCCAGGCCUUCACCAAUGUGGCACUGCCACUCAUGCUACUACCUGCCACCUACACAUGCUGCUGCCACAGUGAGAAAUCAAUCAGACUUGGUUAGGAUCAGUGCCGUAUAAAUUGGUUCUUUACAACCUUUAACAUGGAGUCUCUAAGAAGAAGCUUUUUAAAAUGGCACAGGAGCAGUAAUUUAUGGGUGCUACACUGCAAGAUAGUUUAAAGAGCUGGCUGACAUUCUUAGUCAUUGAUCUUAUGGACCAUUUUGAUAGUCAAUGACCAAGUUCAACCUAGGUGUUGAACUUAUGAACAAUGCUACCCAUUGUAUUCAAAUCAAGGGUGCACUUCAUAAGAACUUGUAAAUAAAAUCAGCUCAUCUUCGCAUGUUGACAACACCAAUUACUGAGAAACAUUUACUGUGUGACUAUUUACCAUCAAUAGCAUUUGUUUUUAUUGAAACAUGUUCUUUAAACUUUCCUUUUUUUAAAAGUUAACACAAUAUAAACUUUGAAAAAAUAGAAUAACUAAGGGAUAUGGUAUUUCAUGUUAAGUUCUCAUUUAGAAUUCAGGUUCAGAUGCUUAGAAACCAAUAUAGUUUGGAGCCAUUUCCUAUGGACACUGACUCACUAUUUGGAAUUCACCUGUUAGGUACAGAGAUAAUGAUCAGCAUGAUGUGAACAAUAAUGGAGUGUGUAGACGAGGUUGUUUUAGUAGCUCAUAGGCUCUAUGAAUUCUUACUUUUGGAGGCCCCUACCUUUUAUUACACAUAUUAAAAAUGCACUCACUGAGUGGAGGUGCCCUCAAGUAGUUGACCUAAUGUCACAAUUUAGAGACAUUUAAUUAAAUACUUGUUAAUUUCAAUGUUCAUGUCUUCCUUGCAUA